rnacentral:rRNA from 1 species
GACGUACGCUGGCGGCGUGCUUAACACAUGCAAGUCGAGCGAUGAAGCUUCUUCGGAAGUGGAUUAGCGGCGGACGGGUGAGUAACACGUGGGUAACCUGCCUCAUAGAGGGGAAUAGCCUUCCGAAAGGAAGAUUAAUACCGCAUAAGAUUGUAGUACCGCAUGGUACAGCAAUUAAAGGAGCAAUCCGCUAUGAGAUGGACCCGCGUCGCAUUAGCUAGUUGGUGAGGUAACGGCUCACCAAGGCGACGAUGCGUAGCCGACCUGAGAGGGUGAUCGGCCACAUUGGGACUGAGACACGGCCCAGACUCCUACGGGAGGCAGCAGUGGGGAAUAUUGCACAAUGGGGGAAACCCUGAUGCAGCAACGCCGCGUGAGUGAUGACGGUCUUCGGAUUGUAAGACUCUGUCUUCAGGGACGAUAAUGACGGUACCUGAGGAGGAAGCCACGGCUAACUACGUGCCAGCCGCCGCCGUAA